rnacentral:rRNA from 1 species
AAAUUGAAGAGUUUGAUCAUGGCUCAGAUUGAACGCUGGCGGCAGGCCUAACACAUGCAAGUCGAGCGGAAACGAGUUAUCUGACCUUCGGGGAACGAUAACGGCGUCGAGCGGCGGACGGGUGAGUAAUGCCUAGGAAAUUGCCCUGAUGUGGGGGAUAACCAUUGGAAACGAUGGCUAAUACCGCAUGAUGCCUACGGGCCAAAGAGG